ACGCUCGACACCUACGGGAGUCAGCAGUGGGGAAUAUUGCACAAUGGGGGAAACCCUGAUGCAGCGACGCCGCGUGGAGGAAGAAGGUCUUCGGAUUGUAAACUCCUGUUGUUGGGGAAAAAGAGGAUGGUACCCAACAAGGAAGUGACGGCUAACUACGUGCCAGCAGCCACGGUAAUCUGAGCGGGCUGGCAAGGC
rnacentral:rRNA from 1 species